AUUGAACGCUGGCGGCAGGCCUAACACAUGCAAGUCGAGCGGAUGAAGGGAGCUUGCUCCUGGAUUCAGCGGCGGACGGGUGAGUAAUGCCUAGGAAUCUGCCUGGUAGUGGGGGAUAACGUCCGGAAACGGGCGCUAAUACCGCAUACGUCCUGAGGGAGAAAGUGGGGGAUCUUCGGACCUCACGCUAUCAGAUGAGCCUAGGUCGGAUUAGCUAGUUGGUGGGGUAAAGGCCUACCAAGGCGACGAUCCGUAACUGGUCUGAGAGGAUGAUCAGUCAACAUGGAAAUGAGACACGGUCCAGACUCCUAAGGGAAGCAGGAGUGGGGAAUAUUGGACAAUUGGCGAAAGCCUGAUCCAGGCAUGCCGCGUGUGUGAAGAAGGGCUUCGGAUUGUAAAGCACUUUAAGGUGGGAGGAAGGGCAAUAAGUUAAUAACUUGGUGUUUUGAAGGUACCAACAGAAUAAGCACCGGCUAACUUCGUG
rnacentral:rRNA from 1 species